rnacentral:lncRNA from 1 species
UAAAAUCUCCCAAAUAUAAAGAAUGAAUUUAAAAAUCAAAUACAAGAGGCUUAUGAGAUACCAAAGGUACAAAAUUAUAACAGAUCUAAAUCAAGACACAUUAUAAUGAAAAUGCCUGGCAUACAGAAUAAGGAUGGAAUUUUAAAGGCUGCAAGAGACAGGAAACAGAUUACAUAGAAGAGGAGACCAAUUCAGAUCUCAAGCAAUUUUUCAACACAGACCCUCAAAGCCAAUCUCUGAAAUAAAAUGAAUCCCAACCAAAAAUCUUAUAUUCCAGCAAAAUUAAGGUUCAGAUUUACUGACAAAAUAAAAACUUUUCAUGAUAAACAAAAGUUAAAAGAAUUUACAGUGAGAAAGCCUGCAGUACAUUCUUUACAAAAUAUUCUAUGAGGAGGAAAUAAAAAACAACGAUGAAAAUCUACAAAGGAAGGAACUACAAUAAAGGAAAGAUUAAUCAAAGGGGAAGAUGGGCAUAAUGGUACAUGCCUGUAAUUUCUGCAGCUAGGUAGGCUUAGGCAGGAGAAUCACAAGUUCAAAGCCAGCCUCAGCUACAAUGAGUCACUAUGAAACUCAGUGAGACCCUGUCUCUAAAUAAAAUACAAAAUAGGUCUGGGGAUUGAACUCAGGGUCAAGUGCCCCUAAGUUCAAUCCACAGUAUAAAAAAAAGAAGAGACUAAGUCCUGCUAAAAUACCAAAAUAAACCAAAAUGACCUGGAAUACAAAAUAUAGCUCAAUAAUAACCCUGAAUGUGAAUGGCAUACACUCAUCAAUUAAAAGACAAACUCACAGAGUGGAUUAAAAAUAAGACCCAACAAUAUGCUGCCUUCAAUAACAUUUCACAGGAAAAGACAUCCACAGAGUGGAGGUAAAUGAAUGAGAUAAGGGCUGGGGAUGUGGCUCAAGCAGUAGCGUGCUCGCCUGGCAUGCAUGUGGCCCGGGUUUGAUACUCAGCACUACAUACAAACGAAGAUGUUGUGUCUGCCGAAAACUAAAA